GCCAGUGUGGUGUAGUGGUUAGAGUGUUGGACUACAACUCUGGAGACCAGGGUUCGAUUCCUAUGUUGGCC